rnacentral:rRNA from 1 species
UACGGGGGGGGCAAGCGUUGUUCGGAAUUACUGGGCGUAAAGGGCUCGUAGGCGGCCUAUCUAAGUCGGACGUGAAAUCCCUCGGCUUAACCGGGGAACUGCGUCGGAUACUGGAUGGCGUUGAAUUCGGGAGAGGGAUGGCAGAAUUCCAGGUGUAGCGGUGAAAUGACGCAGAUAUCGAGGAGGAACACCGGUGGGCGAAGGCGGUUCUCUGGGCCGUGUACUGACGCUGGAGGAACGAAAGCGUGGGGAGCGAACAGG